GAUGGGCAGAAUCAAGGGUUGUCGAGCUCGAUAAUCUGCUACCAAUUUCGGAUUUUAAUAGCUCAAUCCCACUUGAUGUGUAUACCAGUGCACGCCAAUCUUUCAUGGUUUCUGUUGCUGUCCUUUUCCUGUGAGGAAUGAUGAGCUAUUCACCAAUCAUCUAAAGUUUAGACAGUUCGAGAAGAUAGGAGAGUCCAUUUCAAACAUUGGAGCAGUUCCUUAGACGAGCUUCUGCACUUCAGGUUCAAAAUGUUAGGAAUCAACAAAAGUUAAAAUAUGUGACUCUAGGUACUUCAGAAUGAGUUCAGAGCGCACAAUGAAGGUGGCUGAACAACUUUAUCAAGCAGGAUUCAUUAGUUAUCCAAGGACAGAAACUGAUAACUUCUCUCCAAACACUGAUCUUCAUGAAAUUGUACGUGAACAAGUACGAGCAUCCAGUAUGGGGAGCAUAUGCUCACCGGUUUCUAAUUCCUGAAGAAAGACUUUGGAGAAAUCCCAGCAAUGGUGGUCAUGAUGACAAGACACAUCCGCCUAUUCAUCCAACCAAAUUUUUUAAGAGGCAAAAAUAACUGGAGCCCAGACCACAAUAAAUUAUAUGAGUUCGCCUUGUUUGCCAUUUCCUUGCAUGUUGCUCUCAACCAGCUGUUGAAAUUGA